rnacentral:lncRNA from 1 species
GUCCCUUCUCCGGAAGACAAACCGGUCCUUCUCGCCAGAGGUACGUCUCCUCCGCCCCUUCCCCUCCAUUCCCCUCGCCUAUGGUUUCUCAUCUUCACCCACCAUGGCUGCCACUUCCUGCGAGGUCCAGACCUCCGUUUGCCCCGUCCUCCCCGGCGAGCUUGCCAAGCACGACAUCUCCUACCUCUAGCUCCACAUGGCCCGUAUUCUAUGAUCUUGCUUGAGUUUCCGUCCUCCUAGAAGCCCCAUCUCCACCGUGGCAUCUCCUGAUCUGAGUAUUUUGAUAAUAUGUACUAUCUUCUAUCAAUCUGCAACUCUGCAUAUAGCUUCUUAAAAAUAUUAGAAUGACAACAUGGUUAUGACCUUCAAUUGUGAUCUCAAGAGUAUGAUUAUUUUGUAAAUGAGAAUCCAUCAUGUUCUCUGACAAGUGCUAGUUUAGAUGCUCUAUCUUAUAGUACCACGAGUUGCUUCUGGCACUAUUGGUUUGUUGGCAAUUGAAACCUGGUAAUUAUUUUGUGGUGUGGACAUACUAUUGUUGUGAAUGAUGAAGACGUUGGUGCAUCAGUGUAUAAUUUUUUUUGUAUCAGCAUCUGUGUAUAUUAGUAUGUGGUAAUUCGUUGAGCAAACUGCAGUACUAGAAUCUACCUUGCCCUAUUUAAGUUCAGUCGCAUGAAAAUAAUCUGAUUCCGUUGCUCCACCAUCCUACAACACACUGAACUUUUUUGUAUGCAGGCAUGGAUUUUUCCCCAAGAUGAUCUGAGCUUCAGAUAAACCUGGAUGAUUGCUGCAUAUAUAACACGCAAAGAAACUGUUGGUAUGAAAUUCGACAGAUUUGUGAUGAGUUCUGUAGUAGCAACUAGCAACCAUGAGCUCCAUUUUUGGGUGUUUGUCGGUUUCUAAAAUUGGAAUUCUGAAGCAAACGAAUUGAUUGUAGCGAUGGUAGAUAGGUUAGGUAGUAUGUGGACACGAAAGUAUCGAUAGCUACCCGACCCUAGGCUGUAGCAACAGCCACCAAAAUCUGUAGAUAUUGUAUUGGCAAUAUUCUGCCAAGCUUAGAAUAAAUAUAUAUUAUCCCAAGCUUGGUGUAUAUUCAUUUUUAUUUGCAUUUGUUUCUAUUUAUACCUAGCGCCAGGUGCUCAUUCAGUUGCACAAGUUUGGCUGGAUGAAUCGUGCUUAUAAAUAUUCUUUAUACCUUGUAUUCUACAAGUCAUCGUCGGUCAGUCAAUAGGUGGAUGUUUGUUUCUAGUAUGAAUGAUUAUGUGCCAUCUUACAUGCCUGUUCCGAGUUUUCCUUUGCCUGAAUCUUAAUCAGUUCACGGGUAAGAUCUUACACGUUUUGUUUCUGGUUCUGUAUCCUAUUCGAAGUUGGCAUGUAUUACUUUUGUUGAAGAAGACAUGAAGAUUCAGUCUUCUGGUCAUCUUUUUUCAGCAGUUCGUUAUGGUUUUGUAAACUUUUGGGAAUUUUGUCAGCAGUUGUUGUUAGGAAGAUGUAGUACUACUACCUUAUUGUGGAGGUUUCUAACUGUUUACCAAUGAGAUUGUAGUUCUCAUACGAUUCUGUUGCUGCUAUUGGGUGAUCCUUCAUAUUGUGUUUGUAUAUGUUUUCUGGUUUAUAAAGGUCAUAGUGAUUAUUUUGGUGGAUUCCCCCUUGUUAGUUUAUUGUUUCAGGUUGCAUCCGCAAUUAAGAUUUGAUAAGUAGCCGCCUCCUAUCUUCCAGGCAAAUGCUUGACCGAUUCUUUUUUUCCAUUCACUUGAGAAAGGCAGCAUUAAUACUAAUCUAUUGAUAUGAUUUUGAAUUUGUGCAGUGCAAUGGUGGACAUUUAGCUCGUGGCACAUGCCUUGCCGAGCUCCCCAGCAGAUAGUGCCUGACUUGCAAGCACGACGCAGUGGAUGAUAUUGUCUCGCCGGCAAGGAUAAAGUGCUCCUACGAUGGCUACCAGAGUGACGUCACCUAGCACGAGGUUGACCAUCAUAGUGCUUCUAUAGUUCUGUAGCAACAUGAUUAGUUUUGUAUGUGGAUUCUACUCGUAGCAAGUUUUUUAUGUUAUGAUGCUGUUUUGCUUGUAAAGAUUGGAUUUUUGCAUGUUUUGCACCAUCUUAUAUCAAUAUGCAAAUCCUGCCUACCAAACAACAUUUCUAUACAAAGAAGA